ensembl:lncRNA
GGCCUAUUUGUUUGCGUUGUCUGUUGGCAUCUGGGUGUGUCGUGAUUAUGAGUCACUUCCAGACGCACGCUACUCUAGCUCGCUGGUGACGCAGCACGUCAUGUGAGUGGGGAAUGUGUAUGGUUACAGGUUGAGCAGCUUAUUAGGAGAUAUUAUGAAGAACUAAAGCUCUCUCUUUGUGGCCAGAUGUGUUCUGUAAUACUAUUGGCCAGUAAAAGAAUGCGCCCGUACAAGGAAUAGCAGGUUCUGUAUAUGAAUGACAUUUGAUCAUUUCCUGUUACUGGGAAACCCAACUGUAAAUGUCAGUCACAAGUGGGGGGGAUGACUGUUGUACGUUCAAUGUGAACUGCUUUAAAACUGGAUAGUGAAAAAGUAGUCAAUAGAACAAGAUUUUUUCAAUAUGUACGGGAAAGGGCAUUGUUAACCGAUUCUGUGAAGGAAAAAGAAAAGAAAAACGAGGAACAACGGGAAUUGCAAAUUUGUUCUUUAUUUGGUGCGACCCACUCAACAUUCAGCUACCUGACAAUGCAACCUACAAUCAUGAAUAGAGUCCACUGUUCCGGCCAAGUGAAGGAAGUGUGCGCAGUACCAUCACAGCAGGGAAGCCCAUCAUGUGAAGUCAAUGUGCUUUCUGACCUAUGGAGAGGGACACUCUCCAGGCCUCGGUGCACUAUUUCUGCUUGGAACUGGGUCAGAAUAUGGCAUUUCUGUGCAAUUACAUUUUUUUAAUGAGAGAUUCUGCAUAUUAACUUUUUUUGAGGUCCCACCCAUGGCACCAGGGGGGUGUUUGUUGGACAAAUCAGUUCUUCCAUCCACACCCCUGAGUGCUAAAUAUAUAAGAACAGCCCCCCGAGCCCACUGGCAGCUGAGAGGCCCACUCACACUCUGGAGCAGUAGGAAGGGACAGGUGGAUGGGGUAAUAUGGAGCAGUGGGCGGGUCCUGCUGUUUGGGUCUCACAAAUUGACCAGAAACUGGAGGAGAUGCUGCAGAUGCUGGCGGAGCAGUUUAAAGGCAAGCCCGAGCUGCUGCGGGGACCGGCGCACUGCAGCUCCCGCGUCACCGUCAUGAAGCGCAUGGGCCUCAGCAUGGACGAAGGCCAGUGACCCCAGCACCCUCCCUCGGCCGGGAACAGCCUUGACCGCCCGCUUCACCUUGGGCACAGACUGUAUGUGGAGGAAGGAGUGUAACAUCCUUUCCUCUCUAGCAGAACUCCCUUCCUUGCCCCAUUAUUAUCACUGUCAACAGCCACCGACCGCAAGGAAAAAAGUUAGCAUGCUACCAUGCUCCUGCACGUCUGGAGAUGAGCUGGUGAUGGGAACAGACAGAGGGCAAAACUAUCGUGUCAUAUUAAACAGUCAAAUGUUAAGGAAGAGAGAAUUUUCUUUCCUCCCUUCAUUCACUGUGGCUUCUUUAUGCCAUUUUAAUGCAAUGUUUUUGUCUAGAAAAACCAAACACAGUCUUACGCUUUCUCUUUUCUUUUUCAACGGCUUCCGAGGAGGUCCGAGUCUGCCAGAGCGUGGUCGCUGACCCGGCCUUUAUAUUCUACUGAUUGUUUUGGCUCGGCUGGUCCAAAGAAACACAGUGCAGUAAUGGCCGCAGUCCCACCGUCCAAUCCCAGAGUGUUUGUUGCCACAGCUCAGGUGACAUGGGGAUAGAGCAGCAGAACCAGGCCUGAAAAUGCAAGGGGGGGGAAAUGGUCUUGUCCUGAUAUAUGGCUAUGAUUAAGCUAAUAAAAAUAACAUGACAGCCA